GUGCUCACUUCAGCAGCACAUAUACUAAAAUCAGAAUGAUACAGCAAGACCCCUGUACAAGGAUGACACAGAAAUUCAUGAUGUGUUCUGUAUAUUU
ensembl:snRNA U6 U6 spliceosomal RNA